GAAAGAUUAGUUAAAUUAUCAACAUCAGUAUGUCAUAUUGAAUUUAUUAGUAUAAAUCUAGUAUCUCUCU
rnacentral:tRNA from 1 species